GUCUGAGUGGCCUGACCAAUCUGUGACGGGGGUUGGUACGUAUCUCAUCUGGGGGAUGGAUUUUUGUGGAAUUCCCUAGUUAAUUUGCAUAUUCUGGUUUCCGCCUCGUUUGACAUAGCCAAAUUGAGGUCGAGGAAGACACCUGGGAGAGCGGAGUGUCCUUGGUGGAACUGUGAAGUGGAAAACCUGUUUGUCCAAGGGAAGGGGGACAAGACAAGGAUGCCUACUCUCUCCUUCCCUCUUCACCGUCUGCAUUGAACCACUUGCUGCAACCGUCCACCAGAACAAUCGUAUUAAAGGUGUGCAAUCCUCAAUGGUGUUUCUGCCUCCAGAGCUGUGGAGUCUGGAUCUGUGGUUUUAGGCUUCCUGCUGCCCCCAUGUUCCUGCUUGACACCCGCUGCUACAAUUACUAUUAUGAGCAUUAACACUGCUAUCAUUAUUAGCACUAUUAUUCUUUUACAU